rnacentral:sRNA from 1 species
UCCAGGUGUGGUGGUGCACACCUGUAGUCCCAGCUACUUGGGAGGCUGAGGUGAGAGAAUCGCUUGAGCCCAGGAGGUCGAGGCUGUGGUGAGCCAAAAUCGCACCACUGCCCUCCAGCCUGGGUGACAAAGCGAGAUCUUGCCUCAA